AUGACAUCUAUUUUUAAAUCAUACAGGUUGAUGCAAAAGUAAUUGCAGUUUUUGCCAUUAAAAGUAAUGGCAACUUUUGCA
rnacentral:miRNA from 10 species